CUAAGUUUAAUGAAAGCAAAAAAAGAAAAACUCAGCAGCCCCCAUCUAACUCUCUCCCUCGCGCGCGUCGUCACACCCACUCUCGCGCAGCAGAUCGCGUCUGCCCAGUCGUCGUCCGCCCGUCGCCGCCGGCAAGUUUCUGUAUUUUCUUCUCCCUUUAUUUCCCUGACCCUCACGGUUUUCUUCAACUACACACCACUACUGUCGUCCUCAGCUAUUGCCUCCCUCGCUGCCGUCGCUGGAUUUGUGGUUGAGGGUUGAUUUGAAGAUUUUCAAGGUGUUGUCCAAGGUGAUUAAGGUUGUUUUAGCAACUUUUUGGCAAUCCAAAUGCACCCAAAGUUGGUUCAAUGUCGAGGGAUCAUGAAAAAUCCUAAUCCACCUUUGCCCAAUAUAUGGCAUCCUCGAAGUUAGAGCUAUGACAAUUAUCAUACUUGGCUCCAAAUAGUCUCUUGGUCUUCGUGGCUGUUAGGCCCUACGAUAGUCAUGUCUACCAGUGAGCUCAUUUGCUCCAACAACGUUGUGGCUCCUUUCGGCGAUGGAAUCACAAUCAGUGUAUGAAUGAUCCUCUUUGUGUGUAUUUAUCUUGCCUUCAGGACGUGGUCAAGAAUUUGUUUUUCUUGCCUCACUUUAUCUUCUUCUCUGUUCUUCAAUUUUUGAGUUGUAAUUCCAAUGCUUUGUUCGGUACGAGCUGGCAAAGCUGGUCCUAAUUGGUUGGAUCGUCUGCGUUCCAACAAGGGUUUUCCAAUCACCGAUAAUCUUGAACUUGAUCACUUCCUUACUGACCAAAACCUUGAUAAUCCGUGUUCGCUUUCGGAUUCUAACCCCCAUUCCACUCGGGCUGACCCCCACUCUGACGCUAAUCUCAAUUCUCAGCAUCAAGACAACUCUUCCUCCAACUCUCCCAUUGAAAACGGAAACCCAUCUUCAUUUGAAAUCAUUACCGACAUCCUCUCUGACCUCUUCAAUAUGGGUGGUGCCUCUCGUAAUUCCAAAUGUUGUAGCAAAAAGUACCCUAGGAAACAGUCCAACCCCAAGAUUUGCUCCAUUCCCUCUAUUGCUAAUGUGGACUAUGCAGAUGCAAAGAAUCUGUGUUGCCUGCAGAAAGAAGAUAACAUCCUCUCAUCAAACUCUGAUAAUAGCUCAAAAGGUUGCACCGAUUCUGGGUCGGAUAUGGCACAAAAUGUGUGCCUGAAGGUUGUAGAGGAAGAGGUGUGGGAUGAGAAGUGUGAGAAGGAACUUAAAGGAUACUCAAAAAGCGAGGUCACAGUCAUAGAUACUAGCGACGAUGUGUGGAAGUCUGACAAACUAAUUUUCAGAAGGAAAAGUGUAUGGAAGGUGAAGGACAAGAAGUGUAAGUUGAGGAGCUAUGGAAGGAAGAAGAGAAAGCAGUCCUCUGAAAUGAAUGACCUUCCUGAUAGGAUUGUUUCCGCUAGUAAGAAAACCAAAGUUUGGGGUUCAGAGGAGCGCUUUCAUUUGAACAAACAACAAAUACAUGGAAAGGAAUCUCUCAAACCAUUGAAUAAAGUACAUAAUCUUCAGCAUUGUUAUGGCCCUGAAAUUAGAUUAACUGCACCGGAUAGUAGUAAUGAAAAGAAGGAAAAUGGUUGCACGCUCUCCCAGAAAAAUGGCGGCUAUGACCCCAAAAGAAAAUGGUACGUUUUCUUGGGAUUUGCUGUUCUUUCAGUUCUACUCAGUCUUGGAACUCUAUAGCAGACUUAGAGACAAUGCAAUGAACUUAUAUGGAUGUUCUCUUGUAAUUUUUCCCAUACAGAUCACCCAAGGGGAGAAGCAUUUUUUUGAUAGCGCAUACAACAUUUGUAAGAUUCGUACUGACGUUUUAGCGUUUGGAAAUAAGUGUGUGGUAUUAGUUACUUCGUUUUGUGAAAUUUUGUUGAAAAAGAAGAGGGCAAUUGUCGUUUUUAACUCUUUUGGAAAACUUUGUUUUUUUUACCCUUUCAACCUUUCAAAAAAUUUAAAAUUACAAUGUUGCCCUUGAGAUUUCAAAAGUUACACGAACUUCCUUUCUUCACUCCCCUUCUCUCCACUUCGUUUCGACCUUAUCCUUUCCAUUUCCUUGCCAUUUUCUACCUUGAUCUCGGUCAGAUUUUCUUGACUUGCAAGAUAAUUCCGGACUUGUCAUCUCAUGAUCAGGUUUGACCGGGUAUUGACCGGUAUUCACACCGUUGUUCAAAAUUUAGAACAGUAAGAAAUCCGGUCAAAAUCUAGAAUUAUCUGAUCAUGAGAUGACAAAUCCGGAAUUAUCUUGAAAGUGAGCAAUGAAAUCAGACCAAAAUCGUAGUAGAAAAUGGCAAGGAAGUGGAAGGGGCUGGACGGGAAAUUGAUUAGCUUAUGAUUCAAAGCAUGAACGUCGGUAGUGCUGUAGCAAUGGAGGAACCAAUGAGGAUACAUAGUUAGAAAUUUGGUGCCAAUCCAUAGGUUGUAUAUGACUUCUUUAUCACCUUAGAUGCAUCUUGUACAUUUCUUUUGUAACUAUAAGUGGCUAGCAUUACUUUCAAAGAACUCGUGUUAUUCUUUCGAUUCAUGGUGGUUGAUAAUUUGAAACUUCAAUGCUUUUUUUUUA